rnacentral:misc_RNA from 1 species
AACCAUAGAAACCUGCGGAGUACCUGCGGAAGGAUCAUUAACAAAAUUAUCCAUCGUCUUUCUUCAUAUGGAUGAUUUUAAAAAAUCCAUAUCCACCUCGUGUGCACCUUACUGAUAUGUUUGACUUUGGCAGUUCUACGGAAGAGUUUUAUCUAUAUUCUUCUGUUCCAAAAAGGGAGGGAAGAGAAAGGAAGAGAAGAGGAAAGAUUUUGUUAAUUUUUCCCUUUAUUCUUUUUCACU